CAAACUCACAACCUUGAGAUCAGGAGUUGCACCCUCCACUGACUGAGGCAGACAGGUACACCUAAUUUAGCAUUUUAAAUAUUGGACAUUUCAUCUUGUUCUUGAAACCAGUCUAUGAAAAUUGCAAUUCCUGGUUAUUCCUAUCUCUUCCUUACUGCUUUCCUAAUCACUUGAAGGCAAAGAGGGUGGCAGUAGGGGCUUUGAUAAGAAUUGAUAGCCAUGUACGGGGAGAAGUUGGGUAAAUGAAAGAAAAGGCCUAAGAAGAGCAUGUCAUUAUUUGCUUAAGCCUUCUCCACUUUGUGAAUUUAUGGAGGAAUUCUGCACUUUGUGAAGCUUAUUCAAGGUAGGGGGAGAGAGGGCAAGCUAAGGAGGAAACAUUCAUAUUCUCUCUUUUCUCCAGAUGAAGUUUCAGAAUCAUGGCAGGAGAUAUGUUAUGGUGCAGUGGAAUCAUCCUCAUAGUGAGAUGAGUCAGAAAACGACUAAGGAGGGUCCCAGACUCUCCAAGAACCAGAAGUUUACAGAGCACUUCAGCAUACAUUGCUGCCCACCAUUCACCUUCCUCAACUCCAAGCGUGAGAUCGUGGAUCGGAAAUAUAGCAUCUGUAAGAGUGGCUGCUUCUAUCAGAAGAAAGAAGAGGACUGGAUCUGCUGUGCCUGCCAGAAGACCAGCAGAAGAGAGCCAUGGCGCCAGCCUCCAGCUUCUUUUGGCCCCCUCAGCACCGGACGCCGUGCAACAUCCCCUCAGAGGCCCAAGCUCCAGCCAGCUGCACCCCCCGCGGUGGUCAGAGCACCAGCCAAGCCACGGUCUCCUCCGAGGUCUGAGCGUCAACCACGCCCCCGCCCAGAGGUCCGACCACCACCAGCCAAGCAGCGCCUCCCUCAGAAGUCCAAGCAGCCGCCGCGCAGCAGCCCCCAGAGAGGGCCAGGCACCAGCCGUGGGGGGUCCCCCAUCAAAGCUUCUAGAUUGAAAAGGAAGAGCAAGCCAACCCCACGGAAAAAGUGAGGGAGGAGUUUCAAGUGAAUGGACCACCUCGGGACCUGGACUCACUGCUUCUUGACUCACGUGCUCUUGGGCAAGUCACCUAGCUUCAAAUAUGGCGCAGGGGCAGACACCUGUUGAUGUGGCAACUACCAAUGUCCACAGCCCCCUCGGGGCAGGGGUUUCCGGGCAGCCUGCCUGGAGGUGAGAGGGGGUAUCUCUAUGUGUCAUACUCCAGUUGGUGGGUCCCAGCAGUGUCCCCUUGGGCUCCAGAUCUCAGUAUAUGGCUCUUUUAGUCUCAGCUGCAGUCCUGUCUUUCACAGAACAUGCACAGACCUCCAGAGUCUUUGGACCAGAAUAGCCAGCCUUGUGAAGAUACCCCUCUGUUGUCUUCUGACCUCUGUCACUGCCAAUGAGAAAUAUGUUGUCAGUCUACUUGUUCUUCCAUUGACUCAAGUUCCUUCAAUCUGAAGAUAUAUAUCUUUCUUCAGGGAUGCACACAAAAAAAAUAUGGUUGUAUAGCCACCAUAAUGGCAAAAAUAAAAGUUUAUCAAGUUUUGGGAAAAAUUCUGAUAAGCCACUGAUGAAAAUUUAUAAACUAUUGUAAUACUUCUGGGGUACAAAAUGGGGAUGCUAGCAAAACAAGAUAUUAUAUAACUUAUGAUCAAGCAAUUAUAAUUCUAGGUACUGAUCCUGGAGAAAACUUGCAUUCAUGAGAAAAGGAGGCACACAUACAUCUAUUCAGUAAAGAAUUGUUUGCUAUUGGAAAAGAAGAGAGAGAAAGAGAAAGGAAUUAAUAAAAAUGUUCACUAAUAGAAUGAGUAAAUCAACAAUGGUAUACUUAUAAAUAAAACUCUUAACAGCAGUUAAAACAAAUGAAUCAUAUAUACCUAUACCAGGUACACAAAUUUGUAAGACAAAUGAAGAAUAUAAAAAGCAAACAAUUGAUGGUAAAUGCAAUCUGAUGCCCCAUGCAUACAUUUUAAUGACCCAUAAUACUAUAAUUGUGCGAUAAGCAGAAACCAUGAUAUCUCAAAUGCUCUCUAUAAUGGAAUAGAUUUUAAAAAAUGACAACAAAAAAUGAAAGCCUAUCUAAAAAAUAUCUAUCCCCCAGAAGUCAAAAGGAAGAUAUGAAAUAAUUCCUGGCUUGAAGAAAUAAGAGAUUAAAACCUGUAUAGAAAUAGUCAACAAUAUUAGCCAGACACAAAGGAGUUUGGCGGGAUAAGUGGGAGACUCAUGAUCAGCCUGGGGUCUUUCCAAGGUUACAAGUCUUAGAGAACAGAACACUUGCUCAUUUUGGACCUGGGUUGUGCUGUGGCUUCAGGCAGAUUUCUGACAUGUGGACAAAGGGGUAGAGUUGAAUACACCAUCCCUCCCAACCUUCCUGUAGCAAUAGGUAGGAAAGCACAGUAGAAGAUAAUGGAAUGUUGCAGAAUGUGGAGGGAUGUAAAAUGGGUAGUAUUAGUAGAGGAAACUCAGGAGAGUGAGGGCAUCUGAAGCAGUCUUGUGCUGGGGGUUGGGUGGCCAAGCACAGGCAGAUGCCUGACACUCCAACAAGGCUGUGGCUCUGUGUCCUUGAGUGAGCACAGCCAGACCCAGCCAAGUUUAAAAGGCAAGUGGGAAUAUGGGGCAAUGCCAGAGGAAGUCUGCUUAAGGUGUGGGGUUUGGGGGAGAGGGAAACCAGAGAGUAGGGAGGAAAAAUGCUAGACUCAGGUAAGAUCCAGCUCAGAAGACUAUUCCUCUGCAAAGCAGAAUCAGGCCAAGUACUCCCAAGGCAACUGGAAGAACAAAUCAGAGCAUUUGGCUUCCUCAGCUGGGGAGGCCACUUCUCUGGGCAAGUGGCAAUAAAAAGGCAGGGGAAUUGAACUACACAAAGCCCUCAGGUAGAAACGUUUCUCCUGCCUAAACUCGGGUGCUAAAUGAACAACAAAAUGAGAACCUCUACUAUGAACACUUUUUAACAAUGAGAUAUGUGAGGCCAUUACAUUCCUGGGAAUGACACCAGGGGUGCCAUGACAGUCCACUAGAAAGAUCAAAUUUGUCGGCCAGCCCCACUCAAACCUAAUAAGGAAACUUAAUAUUCCUUCAGCCCAUUUUAGAUUUUGGCAGAGCCAGACCUCAUACUUAGUAACUUCCUUGGUUCUAUCCUCUAUAUCACUCAGAAGAUACAGAUAUUACAGAAUGCAAAAUCGAGAAGGAAAGAGCAUGGUGUAUAUUAACUUAUGUUAAAAAACUGGAUAAUACCACAGAAAUGUUAAUAACUAGAAAUUAAUGAAUUGUCUGUGUUUGUCUGUUGUGGAAAUAAAACCCUUGGGGAUGGAUAAAAAAUAUCUGGAAAUUACUUGAAACUAGUGGAUAACUAAGUGGAUAUUAUAACUAAAAUGUGCUAUAAUCCAAUUGUGGCUUUUUUUUUUUUUUUUUUUUUUUGUCUUCUAAGUGUUGGUUCUGGGAAGCAUUAUGCCAUGAAUACUGCAAAAAAAAUACAUAAAGCUCCAAAUGCUAUUCUAUGUAAACUUCUUAAGUGGGGAUUCUUGACCAUAAUGUUUGGCAUAUUAACUCUGAUAAUUCUGUAUGUUAAUUGAUUUUAUGUUCUGAUAUUUUGACUGGUUUUGGAAAAACUAAGUUGUCCUAAAGCUGAACCCAGAGUUGUCCUGUAAAUGCCUGACAACAGGAUUUUUGGGUGGAAAGCCCUGAUUUAUAGUGUUUGCCAAUUUCCAUGGUGUAAACACUUCUGCUAUGGUUGAUUGCAGGCUGUGAGCAUGAUGUCACUGAGUGCAGAAUCAGGGGUGAUGAAUGCAGCCGACUCUUGUAAGUUGGUGUACCCACUAGUACCCAAGGGCAGGAAAUGCAGUUUUUUUAACUAAAAAUCCUGUCACAUAGAUAUACAAAGGCACUAGUUAAAGAAUAAAUAAGAAGGAAAAAUCAAAUCAAAUCAAACUGGGAGCUCAAACAGAGAUAAUUGACAGUGGAUUUUUUUUUUUUUUAAUUUUAAGAAGGGGUAUUUGUGUAUCACCUGCAUUUUUUGUCUUUUAUUAUGCAAACAAGGCAUCAGGGUAUCACACUGAGUGCUCUGAACUCUUAGUUUCUUUGGUGUUCUACACAAAGGCUUGGGCUGCUUCCCUUCCAGAUAUUAGUGUGAAGACAGUGCUAACCAAAGAAUCAAUGGGAGCGCCACACUUUGGAGUCAGUUUCAGGAUGGCUGAACUGAAGUUCAAAACAGAAGAAAUUCAGAGCCUUCUGAAUUUGGAGGAGGCAAUGCUGAUAUUUAGACCCAUGGUUUGGUAUGAUAAAUACAGAGCUUUUUUAAAAUUAACAUUAAUGAAAAUAAGGAAAAUGAGUUGUUGAAAAAUUGAAAUGGAUGAAUAAACUCUUCUAUCAGAGUAAGGAAAGAAGAACUUACUAAAAUAGAGGUGAAUUGAAAAUAUCAAUACAAAUUCUGAACAUUUUUUAAAGGAGACUUUAUCUGUUCUGUCCCUACAAUGAUUCAUGCUGUUGGAUAUUUUUGCUAUCAUCUUGCCAAAUUCCAGUCAGAAUGUGGAACAAGCUUAUUUGUAGAACUAGUGCUUAUGGCUUCUAAAACUAUUUUCUAGUAAAAAAGACAGAUACCCUUGGGGGAUAGUUGAUUUCAUAAUUCUGGGCAGAGGAAAAAAAAAUCAGGAUUAGCUUGUGGCUCUUAGGGAUGUUGAAAGAAAGCAAAGUUGCCCUAAGGUAUCAAAGAGGCGUAAGUCCAUAAUGAUGUAAAAAAAAAAAAAGAUAAAA